rnacentral:rRNA from 1 species
ACAGCAGUCGCCGCGGUAAUACAGAGGAUGCAAGAGUUAUUCGGAAUGAUUGGGCGUAAAGCGUCUGUAGGUAGCUUUUCAAGUCUGCCGUCAAAUCCCUGGGCUCAACCUUGGACAGGCAGUGGAAACUACCAAGCUGGAGUAUGGUAGGGGCAGAGGGAAUUUCCAGUGGAGCGGUGAAAUGCGUUGAGAUCGGAAAGAACACCAACGGCGAAAGCACUCUGCUGGGCCGACACUAACACUGAGAGACGAAAGCUAGGGGAGCAAAUGGGAUUAGAUACCCCCGUAGUCCCUGUCUCUUAUAC